rfam:Macrostomum lignano unitig_26235, whole genome shotgun sequence.
GGGGUUGUAGCCUAGUGGUUAGAGCUUCGAACUUACGACUUGAAUGUCGGGGUUCAAUUCUCGACCUCA